CUACGGGUUGCUCCAGUGAGGAAUAUUGCACAAUGGGGGGAACCCUGAUGCAGCAACGCCGCGUGGAGGAUGACGCAUUUCGGUGUGUAAACUCCUUUUAUAUGUCAAGAAAGUGACGGUAGCAUAUGAAUAAGCACCGGCUAACUCCGUGCCAGCAGCCGCGGUAAUAGGGAGGGUGCAAGCGUUACUCGGAAUCACUGGGCGUAAAGGACGCGUAGGCGGGUUGGAAAGUCAGGUGUGAAAUCCUACAGCUUAACUGUAGAACUGCACUUGAAACUUCUAAUCUAGAGUAUGGGAGGGGGAGAUGGAAUUAGUGGUGUAGGGGUAAAAUCCGUAGAUAUCACUAGGAAUACCUAAAGCGAAGGCGAUCUCCUGGAACAUUACUGACGCUAAGGCGUGAAAGCGUGGGGAGCAAACAGGAUUAGAUACCCCUGUAGUC
rnacentral:rRNA from 1 species